GACGAACGCUGGCGGCGUGCCUAAUACAUGCAAGUCGAACGAAGCUGUUUUAACUGGUGCUUGCACCGACUUAAACAACUGAGUGGCGAACGGGUGAGUAACACGUGGGUAACCUGCCCCAAAGCGGGGGAUAACAUUUGGAAACAGAUGCUAAUACCGCAUAACCACAGAAACCACAUGGUUUCUGUGUCAAAGAUGGUUUCGGCUAUCACUUUGGGAUGGACCCGCGGCGUAUUAGCUAGUUGGUAAGGUAAUGGCUUACCAAGGCAAUGAUACGUAGCCGAACUGAGAGGCUGAUCGGCCACAUUGGGACUGAGACACGGCCCAAACUCCUACGGGAGGCAGCAGUAGGGAAUCUUCCACAAUGGACGAAAGUCUGAUGGAGCAAUGCCGCGUGAGUGAAGAAGGUUUUCGGAUCGUAAAACUCUGUUGUCAGAGAAGAACGUGUGCGAGAGUAACUGCUCGUGCAGUGACGGUAUCUGGCCAGAAAGCCACGGCUAACUACGUGCCAGCCGCCGCAGUAA
rnacentral:rRNA from 1 species